UGGGGAAUUUUGGACAAUGGGCGCAAGCCUGAUCCAGCAAUGCCGCGUGCAGGAUGAAGGCCUUCGGGUUGUAAACUGCUUUUGUACGGAGCGAAAAGGUCUGCCCUAAUACGGUGGGCUCAUGACGGUACCGUAAGAAUAAGCACCGGCUAACUACGUGCCAGCAGCCGCGGUAAUACGUAGGGUGCGAGCGUUAAUCGGAAUUACUGGGCGUAAAGCGUGCGCAGGCGGUUUUGUAAGACAGAGGUGAAAUCUCCGGGCUCAACCUGGGAAUUGCCUUUGUGACUGCAAGGCUUGAGUGCGGCAGAGGGGGAUGGAAUUCCGCGUGUAGCAGUGAAAUGCGUAGAUAUGCGGAGGAACACCGAUGGCGAAGGCAAUCCCCUGGACCUGUACUGACGCUCAUGCACGAAAGCGUGGGGAGCAAACA
rnacentral:rRNA from 1 species